rnacentral:lncRNA from 10 species
GGAACAUUCACAUCAUCCAAGACAACACCAACAUUUUUGUAAUGGCCUGCAAGGCCUUCCGAGAUCUACCUCCUGCAACUCAGCUUCUCCUGUGCUCUCCUUCUGGACUCACUCUGCCUCAGCAACACUGGUCCCUGUUGCCCCACCAAUAUGCCAGCUGCACUGAUGAGGAAACUGAAACAGAAAAUCCAGAGUAAAUUCCACCAGGCCACACAGCAAGGUCUGAUAGAGCCAGGAGAGACUUUAUGAAAUCCAGACUCUCACACUAAUGCUCUAUCAGCUAGACCUCCAUGUGAGUCUCCCCAAUGUAGGUAGGAAGUGCU